GAUGAAGAACGCAGCGAAAUGCGAUAAGUAAUGUGAAUUGCAGAAUUCCGUGAAUCAUCGAGUCUUUGAACGCACAUUGCGCCCGCUGGUAUUCCGGCGGGCAUGCCUGUCCGAGCGUCAUUUCGUCCCUCAAGCCCCCGCGCUUGGUGUUGGGCGUCCCCGCGGGCCUUUACGGCCGGCGGGCGCCCCAAAUGCAUCGGCGGUCCCGCCUGGCGGCUCCCUGCGUAGUAGAAUCUCUUCUCGCAUCGGGUCCCGGGCGCGCGGCCAGCCGCUAAACCCCCCAAUCGUACCAACGGUUGACCUCGGAUCAGGUAGGACUACCCGCUGAACUUAAGCAUAUCAAUAAGCGGAGGA
rnacentral:misc_RNA from 1 species